GGACGGGUGAGUAACGCGUGAGCAAUCUGCCUCGUACAGGGGGAUAACAGCCGGAAACGGUUGCUAAUACCCCAUGAGACCACAAUAUCGCAUGGUAAAGAGGUCAAAGGAGUAAUCCGGUAUGAGAUGAGCUCGCGUCCCAUUAGCUAGUUGGUGGAGUAACGGUUCACCAAGGCGACGAUGGGUAGCCGACCUGAGAGGGUGAUCGGCCACACUGGGACUGAGACACGGCCCAGACUCCUACGGGAGGCAGCAGUGGGGAAUAUUGCGCAAUGGGGGGAACCCUGACGCAGCAACGCCGCGUGAGUGAAGAAGGUCUUCGGGUCGUAAAACUCUGUCAUUGGGGAAGAAAAAAAUGACGGUACCCAAUGAGGAAGCCCCGGCUAACUACGUGCCAGCAGCCGCGGUAAUACGUAGGGGGCAAGCGUUGUCCGGAAUUACUGGGCGUAAAG
rnacentral:rRNA from 1 species